GACGAACGCUGGCGGCGUGCUUAACACAUGCAAGUCGAACGGAAAGGCCUUUUCGGAGGUACUCGAGUGGCGAACGGGUGAGUAACACGUGGGUGAUCUGCCCUGCACUCUGGGAUAAGCCUGGGAAACUGGGUCUAAUACCGGAUAGGACCGCACUUUAGUGUGUGUGGUGGAAAGUUUUUUCGGUGUAGGAUGAGCCCGCGGCCUAUCAGCUUGUUGGUGGGGUAAUGGCCUACCAAGGCGGCGACGGGUAGCCGGACUGAGAGGUUGGUCGGCCACAUUGGGACUGAGAUACGGCCCAGACUCCUACGGGAGGCAGCAGUGGGGAAUAUUGCACAAUGGGCGCAAGCCUGAUGCAGCGACGCCGCGUGGGGGAUGACGGCCUUCGGGUUGUAAACUCCUUUCGCCAGGGACGAAGCGUUUUGUGACGGUACCUAGAGAAGAAGCACCGGCUAACUACGUG
rnacentral:rRNA from 1 species